rnacentral:lncRNA from 1 species
GCUAACAGAAGCUUCAUAUUGCAACUUGAAUUUGUAUCUUUCAUGCUGCUUACUUCAUAGGACUGCAUCUAAGAUAUCUGGUGCAUUACCCACAUUUGGUCCAAAAAGCCAACAAUUUGGAAAAUUUGGAAGCAACUACGUUCGAUUCUACAACAUAGUGAAUGGAAUAACAGUAGCAAGAGCAAGGAAAUGAAGUCAGAGUACCGUUGACAUCAAACACCACAUCUGGUCAUCAUGAGAGCCAUCUGAUAUCACCAGCACAAUAUGACAAAUUGAUGCCAGCAGAACCGAUCUAGAAGGAGGCCAUGCAGCAACCCCAAUCAAUAAGGUGAAUAAACUCAGAUAC